GUAGGGAAUCUUCCACAAUGGACGCAAGUCUGAUGGAGCAACGCCGCGUGAGUGAAGAAGGGUUUCGGCUCGUAAAGCUCUGUUGUUAAAGAAGAACGUGGGUAAGAGUAACUGUUUACCCAGUGACGGUAUUUAACCAGAAAGCCACGGCUAACUACGUGCCAGCAGCCGCGGUAAUACGUAGGUGGCAAGCGUUAUCCGGAUUUAUUGGGCGUAAAGCGAGCGCAGGCGGUCUUUUAAGUCUAAUGUGAAAGCCUUCGGCUCAACCGAAGAAGUGCAUUGGAAACUGGGAGACUUGAGUGCAGAAGAGGACAGUGGAACUCCAUGUGUAGCGGUGAAAUGCGUAGAUAUAUGGAAGAACACCAGUGGCGAAGGCGGCUGUCUGGUCUGCAACUGACGCUGAGGCUCGAAAGCAUGGGUAGCGAACAGGAUUAGAAACCCUAGUAGUCCA
rnacentral:rRNA from 1 species